rnacentral:rRNA from 1 species
UACGUAGGGGGCAAGCGUUGUCCGGAUUUACUGGGCGUAAAGGGCGCGUAGGUGGAUAUUUAAGUGGGAUGUGAAAUACCUGAGCUUAACUUGGGUGCUGCAUUCCAAACUGGAUAUCUAGAGUGCAGGAGAGGAAAGUGGAAUUCCUAGUGUAGCGGUGAAAUGCGUAGAGAUUAGGAAGAACACCGGUGGCGAAGGCGACUUUCUGGACUGUAACUGACGCUGAGGCUCGAAAGCGUGGGGAGCAAACAGG